rnacentral:rRNA from 1 species
AUUGAACGCUAGCGGCAGGCCUAACACAUGCAAGUCGAGCGGCAGCACGGGAAGCUUGCUUCCUGGUGGCGAGCGGCGGACGGGUGAGUAAUGCAUAGGAAUCUGCCCGAUAGUGGGGGAUAACCUGGGGAAACCCAGGCUAAUACCGCAUACGUCCUACGGGAGAAAGCAGGGGCUCUUCGGACCUUGCGCUAUCGGAUGAGCCUAUGUCGGAUUAGCUGGUUGGUGAGGUAAUGGCUCACCAAGGCGACGAUCCGUAGCUGGUCUGAGAGGAUGAUCAGCCACAUCGGGACUGAGACACGGCCCGAACUCCUACGGGAGGCAGCAGUGGGGAAUAUUGGACAAUGGGCGCAAGCCUGAUCCAGCCAUGCCGCGUGUGUGAAGAAGGCCCUCGGGUUGUAAAGCACUUUCAGUGGGGAAGAAAGCCUUGGGGCUAAUACCCUCGAGGAAGGACAUCACCCACAGAAGAAGCACCGGCUAACUCCGUGCCAGCAGCCGCGGUAAUACGGAGGGUGCGAGCGUUAAUCGGAAUUACUGGGCGUAAAGCGCGCGUAGGUGGCUUGAUAAGCCGGUUGUGAAAGCCCCGGGCUCAACCUGGGAACGGCAUCCGGAACUGUCAGGCUAGAGUGCAGGAGAGGAAGGUAGUAUUCCCGGUGUAGCGGUGAAAUGCGUAGAGAUCGGGAGGAAUACCAGUGGCGAAGGCGGCCUUCUGGACUGACACUGACACUGAGGUGCGAAAGCGUGGGUAGCAAACAGGAUUAGAUACCCUGGUAGUCCACGCCGUAAACGAUGUCGACUAGCCGUUGGGAGCCUCGAGUUCUUAGUGGCGCAGUUAACGCGAUAAGUCGACCGCCUGGGGAGUACGGCCGCAAGGUUAAAACUCAAAUGAAUUGACGGGGGCCCGCACAAGCGGUGGAGCAUGUGGUUUAAUUCGAUGCAACGCGAAGAACCUUACCUACCCUUGACAUCGUGCGAACUUGGUAGAGAUACCUUGGUGCCUUCGGGAACGCACAGACAGGUGCUGCAUGGCUGUCGUCAGCUCGUGUUGUGAAAUGUUGGGUUAAGUCCCGUAACGAGCGCAACCCUUGUCCCUAUUUGCCAGCGAUUCGGUCGGGAACUCUAGGGAGACUGCCGGUGACAAACCGGAGGAAGGUGGGGACGACGUCAAGUCAUCGUGGCCCUUACGGGUAGGGCUACACACGUGCUACAAUGGUCGGUACAAAGGGUUGCAAAGCGGCGACGUGGAGCUAAUCCCAUAAAGCUGAUCUCAGUCCGGAUCGGAGUCUGCAACUCGACUCCGUGAAGUCGGAAUCGCUAGUAAUCGUGAAUCAGAAUGUCACGGUGAAUACGUUCCCGGGCCUUGUACACACCGCCCGUCACACCAUGGGAGUGGACUGCACCAGAAGUGGUUAGCCUAACUUCGGAGGGCGAUCACCACGGUGUGGUUCAUGACUGGGGUGAAGUCGUAACAAGGUAGCCGUAGGGGAACC